rnacentral:rRNA from 1 species
CAACAGGGAUUGCCUCAGUAACGGCGAGUGAAGCGGCAAAAGCUCAAAUUUUAAAGCUGACAUCUUCGGUGUCCGCGUUGUAAUUUUGUGAGGCAUCUCCGGGUAGGGCGCCGGCCUAAGUUCCUUGGAACAGGACGUCACAGAGGGUGAGAAUCCCGUGCUUGGCUGGCUGUCCCCGUCCAUGUGAGGUGUCUUCGACGAGUCGAGUUGUUUGGGAAUGCAGCUCAAAAUGGGUGGUAAAUUUCAUCUAAAGCUAAAUAUUGGUGGGAGACCGAUAGCGCACAAGUAGAGUGAUCGAAAGAUGAAAAGCACUUUGAAAAUAGAGUUAAAAAGUACGUGAAAUUGUUGAAAGGGAAGCGCUUGAGACCAGACUUCGGUAAGGGGUGAUCAGCCGUCCUUCUGGGCGGUGCACUUGCCCCCCUCCGGGCCAGCAUCGGUUGAGGCGGCGGGAUAAAGGUCCCGGGAAUGUGGCUCCUUCACGGGAGUGUUAUAGCCCGGGUGAAUGCCGCCAGCUUCGACCGAGGACCGCACCCGCAAGGGUUAGGAUGCUUGGCAUAAU